UCAACAGCCACGUUAUAUUUUACGGAAACAAGCGCUUCUCAACGAGAUGGUGGAUAUAAUACUUGACAAGCCAACCAGAACUCCCAUGUUUAGUGACCUGAAGCCGUUGUGCAAUCAGGGAAGCGCUCGGUGGUCUAACUCGAAAGACUGCCGUCACACGCUCAGGGAACGAGCGGGCGAUCUCGUAUGGAAACCCAACGCCACGUAUUGCAGUCAAGUGGUGAUGGAAGAACCAUUAAAGCAUUGCACAUAUACCCAGGAAAGCUAACGCCGCCAUUUCAUCCUGCCAUCUUUAAGUAUACAAUGCAACUAGAAUACGAGGAUUCCGUGGUUGAGGUGCUAGCGAUUCCAGUGUACUGUGGCGCCACCGUGGUCACUUCAUACGGCGAGGAUGCG